CCUACGGGAGGCAGCAGUGGGGAAUCUUGCGCAAUGGGCGAAAGCCUGACGCAGCGACGCCGCGUGGGGGAAGACGGCCUUCGGGUUGUAAACCUCUUUCGACAGGGACGAAGCCACUCGGGUUAAUAGCCCAGAGGGUGACGGUACCUGCAGAAGAAGCUCCGGCUAACUUCGUGCCAGCAGCCGCGGUAAUACGAAGGGAGCAAGCGUUGUCCGGAUUUAUUGGGCGUAAAGAGCGUGUAGGCGGCCAGACAGGUCCGUUGUGAAAACUGGAGGCUUAACCUCCAGACGUCGAUGGAAACCGUCUGGCUAGAGUCCGGAAGAGGAGAGUGGAAUUCCUGGUGUAGCGGUGAAAUGCGCAGAUAUCAGGAAGAACACCCGUGGCUAAGGCGGCUCUCUAGUACGGUACUGACGCUGAGACGCGAAAGCGUGGGGAGCGAACAGGAUUAGAUACCCUGGUAGUCCACGCCGUAAACGAUGGGUGCUAGGUGUGGGGGGUGUCGACUCCCCCCGUGCCGAAGCUAACGCAUUAAGCACCCCGCCUGGGGAGUACGGCCGCAAGGCUAAAACUCAAAGGAAUUGACGG
rnacentral:rRNA from 1 species